AUGACGGAGGUUAUGUUCGAACGAGAGAGGAGGGUUUUUGAAACUUACGCCAAGCAGGAGAUAGAACUCGAAACUAAAUUGAAUCAGCUAUACAACAAGCACCACAGUAUUAAUUUUGAAUCGAAGCAGAAAGCUUCCAAUAAUCAUAAGGAUAAAUAUGCCUACCAAAAAAGGAACGAAUUAUUCUUGAAGAGCUUGGAAAUUGCCACAGCCAAAUUGAGGACACAGUUCUACUUCUGCCCUACAGAGAGAUGCCUGGAGAAAGCAAAGAGGAAGUACAUAAAUAGUCUUCAGGGCUAGUUUAUUAAAAAAUGAACCACGAAGACUGAUGAGAACAAUGACACAUUCCUAUGAUUUCAGGACUUUAAAAGAACCCUGCAAAUCCUUGAAAUACCCUGUAAAGUAAAAUGUAAGGCAAAUAAAUCGGCAUCAUUUUUGAAAAAUCGUGAUUUUCAUUCAAGC
rnacentral:lncRNA from 1 species